UACGGGGCUGCAUCAGUCAACAAAGUGGAGCCGACUAAGACUAACGUGUUUUAAUUUUGCUCCGCGGUGUGUCAGCUCAGAAAACGGAAACUACGAGAAAAAUGGCAUCUCGCGCUGUUCAGUUUGUGUUUUUUGUAGUGGUGGUGAUUGCGUUGAUUCAAGACAUAAGCUGUCUUAGCUGCGCGUUUGGAAAUUCGGCGGGUCGAGUUAGCACUCAGUGCGGUGCAGGUGAAACGAAAUGCUCCUCAUAUAAACUGGGCACUGCAUUGACUUACAAGUGCGGCCCUUGUCAGGCGACGACGUUGGUCUUACCCGUGACUGAGUGUAAAGAAUGCACCACAGAUAAUUGCAACAGUGCCAAAGCCAUAUCCUCCAAUUCCAUCUUUAUGACUCUCGUGUUUUCUAUUUCCACAUGGCUGCUCGCCCGUAUGACAACUUAAGAAUCAUGUAUGCACAACGAUAAUUGUUUUGACUUUUAAAGACGGGACAUAUGAAGUUCUCUCAAAAAGAAAGUACAAAACUCCGUCCUCCUUUUAGCUUUUAGCCUGCAAACGUAAUUAACACCAGAAACGAGGUUACAUAAUGGUUACAUUUAUAUUGUCCCCUAAUUUGAUAUCGUAUAGUAUGCUGUUCCAAGCUAUGUACAAAUAUCCAGUGAACGCUGAGUGAAACUGUAGAUGUUUUGUUCGGACUUCAGAUUAUCACCGUAGAAAAGUCUUUAUUGUUAUUGCUUUAAACUUGCUUUUCUCUGAGUUAAAUUUAUAUGUUACAUGCAGAACAUGAUCGUGAUGCCCUGUAGGACGAACUCGUUGCCACUAGUGAAGCUAAGGUCUAUUUUCCUUCAAGCACGUAAUGUUGCUAAUAUGCCGUGUUUAGAUCAUAUUCAUCAUGUUUUAUUAACCAUUCACCCAACUACUUGACUGUUUAUUGUAACCCGCAAUAAGGUGGUUAACAACGACUGACCACCCCUUAGAUUAUUAAUCAUAAAAAACCAUGAAUACAUGUAUCUUGUGUCACUUUUAUCACUUUACCCAUGUGCAAGACAGAAGUUCAUCGUAACUUGUCCCCUAGUAAACAAUACAUUAUGUAAGACGGAGUUCCAUGACCGGGUCGGCCUUGAGUGAACUUCAUGUAUUCAAUUGUACUUCUGACUGCUUGAAUGAACCUGGUUAUGACUUAAAUAAGGCUCACUUGUUUUCGUUUGGUCGUACAUUCAUAUGUGUUAUGUAAAGCACUAUUACCUAAGAUCUUUAGGUGUGCCAAAUAUUCUGUUGUGGCAGGCAGAAGGCCUUGGAAGUCGCUGCUGCAAAGAGCAAGAUUCACUAUUCGACUUGAAGAUGGAGGUCGUCAAACAUACAGUGUCGACGGUAAACCGUGUCGACACUAGGCCUAUAUAACCGAUUCUGCUGCAUUUGUUUCACAUAUGCUCAUUGCACGUAAAGGCCUUUUGUACUUGCACCCCUCAAGCUACAGUAUCAAGUUCACUUGAUUUUAUUUGAUACCUACAUGUAUAUCUGAAGUAACAUUUAUUAAGACUCUUGUAUUGUUCUUUCCAUCAAUUUUCAUCAAUAUUCUACAAGUUGUUGUAUUCUUAUUGGGGUAUAUAUAUUCCGUCUGUAUUCCUUCUGAUACUUUGGAUUUGCACGAAGAGUGACUUUAUGUACAAUCUCAUUUGGAUUGAUCUCACUGCGGCAUAUAAUGUAUAAUAAAUAUUUAGUACCAGUAGUUAUUAAUAUAUCUUUGUAGACAUCUACAUGUCACGUGUAAUACAAUAAAGCAGAUUUCUGUCAAA